GACACUGAGGCUCGAAAGCGUGGGUAGCAAACAGGAUUAGAUACCCUGGUAGUCCGCGCCGUAAACGAUGUCUACUAGUCGUUGGGUCCCUUGAGGACUUAGUGACGCAGCUAACGCAAUAAGUAGACCGCCUGGGGAGUACGGCCGCAAGGUUAAAACUCAAAUGAAUUGACGGGGGCCCGCACAAGCGGUGGAGCAUGUGGUUUAAUUCGAUGCAACGCGAAGAACCUUACCUGGUCUUGACAUACACAGAAUCUUGUAGAGAUACGAGAGUGCCUUCGGGAAUUGUGAUACAGGUGCUGCAUGGCUGUCGUCAGCUCGUGUCGUGAGAUGUUGGGUUAAGUCCCGCAACGAGCGCAACCCUUGUCCUUAGUUACCAGCGGGUUAAGCCGGGAACUCUAAGGAUACUGCCAGUGACAAACUGGAGGAAGGCGGGGACGACGUCAAGUCAUCAUGGCCCUUACGACCAGGGCUACACACGUGCUACAAUGGUAGGUACAGAGGGCAGCUACACAGCGAUGUGAUGCGAAUCUCAAAAAGCCUAUCGUAGCCCAGAUUGGAGUCUGCAACUCGACUUCAUGAAGUAGGAAUCGCUAGUAAUCGCGGAUCAGAAUGCCGCGGUGAAUACGUUCCCGGGCCUUGUACACACCGCCCGUCACACCAUGGGAGUUGAUUGCACCAGAAGUGGUUAGCC
rnacentral:rRNA from 1 species